GGCAAAGUGGCCGAGUGGUUAAGGCGCUGGAAUUAGGUCGAUCGAUCGAUUGCGCAAUCCAGUCCUCCGGGGCGUGAGUUCGAACCUCACCUUUGUCA